GGGGACGCUGCGGCUCGUGCCCGUGCCCGUGCCCGGCGCAGAGGAGGUGGCUGCUGCCCCGGGGCCAUCGAGGCCACAAGUACGUGCUAUGGUGAUGGGACUUGGGUGCUGCCACAUGGAGCCAUGCACUGUCACCAGUGGUGCUUGACCCUAUCCCCACGUUGUCACAAACCUCCGACGCAGGAAGGCAGGGCCUCUGCCAGCUGCAUCCAGCUCACCAAGGAGCAGUGCACGGCAUCGGGCACCAAAGUUUGCACAGCAGCAGCCUGAGGCCAAGGAAGUGCCCCCACCUCUUUCUUGGGCGCACACGGUGCCCUUCCUGAGGCUCAGCCAGCCCCGGGGAAAGGCAGAGUGCAUUAAAAAAGAAAAAGAAAAA